rnacentral:rRNA from 1 species
UACCAGCACCCCGAGCGGUCGGGACGUUUAUUGGGCCUAAAGCAUCCGUAGCCGGUUCUACAAGUCUUCCGUUAAAUCCACCUGCUCAACAGAUGGGCUGCGGAAGAUACUAUGGAGCUAGGAGGCGGGAGAGGCAAGCGGUACUCGAUGGGUAGGGGUAAAAUCCGUUGAUCCAUUGAAGACCACCAGUGGCGAAGGCGGCUUGCCAGAACGCGCUCGACGGUGAGGGAUGAAAGCUGGGGGAGCAAACCGG